UACAGGGGGUGCAAACGUUGCUCGGAAUCAUUGGGCGUAAAGCGCACGUAGGCGGUUCGUUAUGUCGGAUGUGAAAGCCCUUGGCUUAACCGAGGAAGUGCAUCCGAAACUGGCGAGCUAGAGUACUAAAGAGGAUCGCGGAAUUCCCGGUGUAGAGGUGAAAUUCGUAGAUAUCGGGAGGAACACCAGUGGCGAAAGCGGCGCACUGGACCACAACUGACGCUGAGGCGCGAAAGCUAGGGGAGCAAACAGG
rnacentral:rRNA from 1 species